AACGCUUCCGUCAGUAGUCCUCUUCACGUUACUCGCUGCUCCGAAGACAUGGGUGGUGAAGUGUUCAACUUCGCCUGUUGUUUAACUUAUUCUAGUGGAUUGACUAGUCCUGCAUUUGGUGCAGUGUGGGAAGUUGGUUAAGACUGGAUUCGAAGAUGAUUCCAUUUGCUGGAUGAUAUGAACGCUCUAAAUCCGGGUGGAAGUCUGGACUGCACGUUGGGACCACUCAAAGGUUACUGGAGAGUGACAGAACUGGCUCUCAGCUGUCCUAAGUUCUCGCUACUCUGACCAAUGGAAAGAGGAAUGUUCUCUUCAAUGCCAUUAUGGAAUGGAAGGAAAAUGGUGAUAUUGGCAUUAAGACCUGUGUAAAAUGACCUGUGCAAUGAAAAUAAAUGGAUAACAAUUUCCUAGUUUUUUUCCAAGUUUCAUGUGUCUUUAGUUUUUGAAAAGUUUGCUUUAAUCAAGAUCUAAUGUGUUUAACACGUUACUCAAUGUACUUGGACAGGCGGACUUGGGAGACAAAGGGAAUUUGGUUCUCUGUACUCUAGCUUUCAAUGUGCUUGCAAACAAUGCUUGAAAUUGGUCUUGGUUAUUUUUGUGUACAGUUAUGUGACUGAAUGAAGGACUGUUCUUGGCUUCGAAGGCUCCAGAAUACCAGUCACACCCUCCCCACAGCAGCAGAGCUCCUCCAGUGGUGGAAUGUGUGA